rfam:Myotis brandtii contig271750, whole genome shotgun sequence.
GGUAGUUCUCAAGUGACACACCCUGGAAUCGGGCUCCCUCCUCUCUGGUUCCAGGUGUGUCACCUGAGAACCGCA